UACGUAGGGGCCAAGCGUUGUCCGGAUUUACUGGGCGUAAAGAGCGCGCAGGCGGUCGUUCAAGUCGCGUGUGAAAGCCCCCGGCUCAACUGGGGAGGGUCACGCGAUACUGAUCGACUGGAAGGCAGGAGAGGGUAGUGGAAUUCCCGGUGUAGUGGUGAAAUGCGUAGAUAUCGGGAGGAACACCAGUGGCGAAGGCGACUACCUGGCCUGUUCUUGACGCUGAGGCGCGAAAGCUAGGGGAGCAAACAGGG
rnacentral:rRNA from 1 species